AGCCCUGAGGUGUUUGCAUGUCAGAUUGCAAAUCUGAAGGAGCAGGCUUACCCCUGCCGGGGCUU
rnacentral:tRNA from 1 species